rnacentral:rRNA from 1 species
AACGAACGCUGGCGGCAGGCUUAACACAUGCAAGUCGAGCGCCCCGCAAGGGGAGCGGCAGACGGGUGAGUAACGCGUGGGAAUCUACCCAUCUCUACGGAAUAACGCAUGGAAACGUGUGCUAAUACCGUAUACGUCCUUCGGGAGAAAGAUUUAUCGGAGAUGGAUGAGCCCGCGUUGGAUUAGUUAGUUGGUGGGGUAAAGGCCUACCAAGGCGACGAUCCAUAGCUGGUCUGAGAGGAUGAUCAGCCACACUGGGACUGAGACACGGCCCAGACUCCUACGGGAGGCAGCAGUGGGGAAUAUUGGACAAUGGGCGCAAGCCUGAUCCAGCCAUGCCGCGUGAGUGAUGAAGGCCCUAGGGUUGUAAAGCUCUUUCACCGGUGAAGAUAAUGACGGUAACCGGAGAAGAAGCCCCGGCUAACUUCGUGCCAGCCGCCGCAGUAACAC